rnacentral:tRNA from 1 species
GGAGGAGUGGCCGAGUGGUCAAUGGCAGCAGACUGUAAAUCUGCCCGCGUGAGCGUACGAAGGUUCGAAUCCUUCUUCCUCCACCA